AGAGUUUGAUCCUGGCUCAGGAUGAACGCUGGCGGCGUGCCUAAUACAUGCAAGUCGAGCGAACGGACGAGAAGCUUGCUUCUCUGAUGUUAGCGGCGGACGGGUGAGUAACACGUGGAUAACCUACCUAUAAGACUGGGAUAACUUCGGGAAACCGGAGCUAAUACCGGAUAAUAUUUUGAACCGCAUGGUUCAAAAGUGAAAGACGGUCUUGCUGUCACUUAUAGAUGGAUCCGCGCUGCAUUAGCUAGUUGGUAAGGUAACGGCUUACCAAGGCAACGAUGCAUAGCCGACCUGAGAGGGUGAUCGGCCACACUGGAACUGAGACACGGUCCAGACUCCUACGGGAGGCAGCAGUAGGGAAUCUUCCGCAAUGGGCGAAAGCCUGACGGAGCAACGCCGCGUGAGUGAUGAAGGUCUUCGGAUCGUAAAACUCUGUUAUUAGGGAAGAACAUAUGUGUAAGUAACUGUGCACAUCUUGACGGUACCUAAUCAGAAAGCCACGGCUAACUACGUGCCAGCAGCCGCGGUAAUACGUAGGUGGCAAGCGUUAUCCGGAAUUAUUGGGCGUAAAGCGCGCGUAGGCGGUUUUUUAAGUCUGAUGUGAAAGCCCACGGCUCAACCGUGGAGGGUCAUUGGAAACUGGAAAACUUGAGUGCAGAAGAGGAAAGUGGAAUUCCAUGUGUAGCGGUGAAAUGCGCAGAGAUAUGGAGGAACACCAGUGGCGAAGGCGACUUUCUGGUCUGUAACUGACGCUGAUGUGCGAAAGCGUGGGGAUCAAACAGGAUUAGAUACCCUGGUAGUCCACGCCGUAAACGAUGAGUGCUAAGUGUUAGGGGGUUUCCGCCCCUUAGUGCUGCAGCUAACGCAUUAAGCACUCCGCCUGGGGAGUACGACCGCAAGGUUGAAACUCAAAGGAAUUGACGGGGACCCGCACAAGCGGUGGAGCAUGUGGUUUAAUUCGAAGCAACGCGAAGAACCUUACCAAAUCUUGACAUCCUUUGACAACUCUAGAGAUAGAGCCUUCCCCUUCGGGGGACAAAGUGACAGGUGGUGCAUGGUUGUCGUCAGCUCGUGUCGUGAGAUGUUGGGUUAAGUCCCGCAACGAGCGCAACCCUUAAGCUUAGUUGCCAUCAUUAAGUUGGGCACUCUAAGUUGACUGCCGGUGACAAACCGGAGGAAGGUGGGGAUGACGUCAAAUCAUCAUGCCCCUUAUGAUUUGGGCUACACACGUGCUACAAUGGACAAUACAAAGGGCAGCGAAACCGCGAGGUCAAGCAAAUCCCAUAAAGUUGUUCUCAGUUCGGAUUGUAGUCUGCAACUCGACUACAUGAAGCUGGAAUCGCUAGUAAUCGUAGAUCAGCAUGCUACGGUGAAUAC
rnacentral:rRNA from 2 species